rnacentral:snRNA from 1 species
GCUUUGGCGGUGCAUAAUACAUAUAUUAAACUUGGAAUAGAAGAUUAACAAGGCUUCUGCGCUAGGAUGACAUGCAAAAUCAUGAAGCGUUUUAAUUUUUU